GCAUGGAUAAUUGAAUAAUGAUAUUUAUGUUGUAUGACGGCCUAGUAUAAUGUACACGUCAAAUAAACAUCCUAAGAUAGAUAAUAUCAUAAAUAUCUACCUUUGAUAUUAUAGACUAGAUCAUAUUAACAAGAAUAGGAUGAACAUGUUAGCUCAAGAGAAAAUCUUUAAAGACAAUAAUUAUGAACCAUUGCCUACCUACAAGUCUUAUCUACCUAGGAAGAUGACCAUGUCACCUUUCACUAGAAAAGGUGAAUGAGCCAGUGAUGUUCUGGGUCUUAUAUAUAUUGAUAUAUGUGAACCCAUGAGCACUAG
rnacentral:lncRNA from 1 species